CAGGGAGACAACAAAAUGUUUAAUAUUAUUAUUUUGUCACCUUAGGUCGAUCGGUAUCUCACGUUCUUAAUUUAUUAAGAAUUUCAUUUCCUAAGUUUUUCUAGGUCACACCCAUUUUUUUUCCUGGGCCAUUAGCUCAGGUGGUUAGAGCGCACCCCUGAUAAGGGUGAGGUCCCUGGUUCAAGUCCAGGAUGGCCCAUAUCUCUAUGUUGGGGGUAUAGCUCAGUUGGUAGAGCGCCUGCUUUGCAAGCAGGAUGUCAGCGGUUCGAGUCCGCUUACCUCCACUGAUUACCACCUCUUCCAUAAUUUGAAGAAAGGAAAUUUUUUGAGUUGUGAUCAAAUUCUGAACGAAUCUAGCUUCCUAAUGAAUCCAUUAAGAUGCUGGACUCAUUGAAUUAAUUUUCAUUGUUUUCAGAGAACCUUGACAACUGCAUAGAUUAUUUUUAAAGACAAUAAGCAUCUUUAAUGAUGCAGAUUUAUUAUUUGUGCGAAUGCAUUAAUAACAAUUCUAUUAAGCUGAUGCUUCAAUUUUUGAAGUUAUUG
rnacentral:tRNA from 1 species